UACGAAGGGGGCAAGCGUUGUUCGGAAUUACUGGGCGUAAAGGGCGCGUAGGCGGCUUGCCAAGUCAGGCGUGAAAUUCCCGGGCUCAACCUGGGGGCUGCGCUUGAUACUGGCUGGCUUGAAUGCGGGAGAGGAUAGUGGAAUUCCCAGUGUAGAGGUGAAAUUCGUAGAUAUUGGGAAGAACACCGGUGGCGAAGGCGGCUAUCUGGCCCGUGAUUGACGCUGAGGCGCGAAAGCGUGGGGAGCGAACAGG
rnacentral:rRNA from 1 species